rnacentral:misc_RNA from 1 species
GUAACAAAUGAGAAAACUAUUUGAAUCUGUUUACACUUCAACAACAUUAUCAGAGUCACAAGUCAAUUUGUACACAACAUAUAAAUAUAUUUGCAUCUUCAACACUCCUAUUGACAAAAAUUAAACAUUUCGAGACACAAGAUUACAUCACCGCAGGGAUGAUUCUAAACUAACAAAUAGACUUCGGGGCCAAAAGAUGGUCUGCAAUUUAGACUGUAUGGAACACAGCAAGAAGAAAUUAUCUUAUUUGAAGUCAUUAAAAAAAAAAGUUGAUGCAUCAUGCAUUGUCUCCAAAAUAUGAACUCUUGCUUAGAUUCUAAUCCAAACACAUAAAAU